GCGACUAAGGUUUAGUGAGGCGGCACCGCGCGGCCCGAGGCGGGUCUUGAAGCACUCGUUUUCCCACUCGUUUUCCGGGGUUCCCCCGCGGUGGGACAGUGAGCAGUUCAGGGCGCCGCAGCCGAGGCCUUCCUCCAGGUAAAUCGCCGGGCCUGCGGGGGCUUCCCACACGCGCGGGCGGGAGACGCGUUGCCUCCUACCUCAGUUUACCCGCCUUAGGAGCCGGUACCUUCGGCAAACGCUUUCCUGAAACCACGGGGGAAGUGGCGAGAGGGCGCGGGGUGCUUGGGAUUGGGGGGUAAAUCAGAGCUCAUCGGCGGGGGCGGGGGUCGUGGUCAGGCUCUAGGAGGGGGCGCAGCCCUGGGACCCAGGUGCUGGCGUUGGGGGCGGGGGGAGCCGGCGCGAGGGACUCGACCCCUCGGAGCUACGAGAAUCAACUUCACAAGCUCAUGGGAGGGGAACCGCGCGCCUCCAGGUUACCCAUCUGUAAAAUGGGACCAUCAGCCUCACUCACAAGGCUCAUGGGAGGGUCCUGGACACCCUGGAGUUGUUCUCUACUCACCUGCUAUGAAUCUCUCAGCAAAUCCUUCGGACUUGGCCUUGCCUCCAAAAUACAGCCCAGAGCCACCCAUUGUCACCCCCAGGCUGUCACCACCCUAGGCCACAUCGUCCGUAUCUAUCUCAUGGAAGACUUGGACAGCGGCCUCUCUGCUAUCCUUUGCUGCAUUCUUUUGAAGCCCCAGGCUUGGUUCUGCACAUGGCCGCAGGCUGAGGAGUCUUUGAAAAAUAUAAUCAGCCAGACGCGGUAGCUCACCCCUGGAAUCCCAGCACUGCGGGAGGCCAAGGUGGGAGGAUCGCUUGAGCUCAGUUCAAAACCAGCCUAGGCAACAGAGCAAGACCCCAUCUCUACAAAAACACAAAAAUUACCCGGAUGUGGUGGUGCAAGCCUGUGGUCCCAGCUACUUGGGAGGCUGAGGCAGGAGGAUCACUUGAGCCCAGGAGGUUGAGGCUGCAGUGAGCUGUGACAGUGCCACUGCCACCAUCCUAGGGACACAGCAAGAACCUCCCCCAUAUAUAUACACAUAUAUACUUUGUUUUUAUCUAUAUAUAUACACACAGAUAUAUACAUACACGUGUGCAUAUAUAUGUGUGUGUGUGUAUAUAUAUAUAUAUACACAUAGACUGAAAAUGGAAAUAUCAAGGCCACUCAGUGCUUCCAGAGGGCUCUCAGCUGAACUUGGAAUAUCCUAAACCUUGUAUUCAGGUUUAUGAAGUCCCCUGAACUUGGCUCCCAUGCCCUGCUUUGUUCCCCCUUGCUCAUUGCUGUUCAGCCGCGUGGGUCUUUCCAUCCUUGGAGCACAAGCUCAUUCCAACCUAAGGGUCUUUGCACUUGGUCGUCUCUCUGCCUGGGACCUUGUGUUUCAGGUCUUACCUAGGUUGGAGUCCCAGCUCUGCACCUUUUUGAGUAUGAUCUAAAAGAGAGCGAGGAGUACUACAAUCUGUGGGCCAGAUAUAGUCUAUGAGCUAAAAAUGGUUCCUCCCUCCCUCCCCUUGUUCCCUCCCUCCCUUUCCUUCCCUUCCCUUUCUUUUAUUUAUUUUGGAAUCUAACUCUGUUGCCCACGCUGGAGUGCAGUGGUACAAUUUCGACUCACUACAACCUCCGCCUCCCGGGUUGAAGUGAUUCUCCUGCCUCAGCCUUCUGAGUAGCUGGCAUUACAGCUGUGUACUACUAUACCCAGCUAGUUUUUGUGUUUUUUUGUGGAGACAGGGUUUCACCAUGUUGGCCAGGCUGCUCUCGAACUUCUGACCUCAGGUGCUCUGCCCACCUUGGCUUCCCAAAGUGCUGGGAUUACAGGCAUGAGCCACCGCGCCUGCCGAUUUUUUUACAUUUUUAGCUGGUUGGGAAAAAAAAUACCAAAAGAAGAAUAUCUAUUGAUGUGAAAAUGGUGUGAAAUUUACAUUUCAGUGUCUGUAAAUAAAGUUUUAUUUGAAAACAGCCAAUGCUUACUCAUUUAUAUAUUGUCUCUGGCUACUUUUGAGCUGUGACAUUAGAGCUAAUUUUUUUUUUUAACAGAAACUUUUUGGCCAACAAAACUUAAAGCAUUUACUGUUUGUGUCUUUACAGAAAAAGUUUGCCAGUUCCUAAUCCAGGACACAUGUAUUUACAUGGUUGUUAAACUUUUCUGAACAGCCAGUGGGAUGUGGU
rnacentral:lncRNA from 1 species